GUAGUUAGCCGGGGCUUCCUCCUUGACUACCGUCACUUUCUUCGUUGCCAAGGACAGAGGUUUACAACCCGAAAGCCUUCUUCCCUCACGCGGCGUUGCUGGGUCAGGCUUGCGCCCAUUGCCCAAUAUUCCCCACUGCUGCCUCCCGCAGGAGUCUGGACCGUAUCUCAGUUCCAGUGUGGCCGAUCAGCCUCUCAGCUCGGCUACCCAUCGUCGACUUGGUGGGCUGUUACUCCGCCAACUAUCUAAUGGGACGCGAACCCCUCUUAUACCGGAUUGCUCCUUUGACCUCAUCCCGAUGCCGAGUCGUGGUCUUAUGCGGUAUUAGCAACCGUUUCCGGUUGUUAUCCCCCUGUACAAGGCAGGUUGUUCACGCGUUACUCACCCGUUCGCCACUAAGUUAUCAACCGAAAUCAAUAACUCCGUUCGACUUGCAUGUGUUAGGCACGCCGCCACGCGUCGUCUCGAGCACGAUACGACCUACGA
rnacentral:rRNA from 1 species